CCAGUAUGUGUAGUCAUGUGUGCCGUUAAGUUACUACUACGAGCAAAAUCUCUACCACAAACAUCACAUUUAUGAGGUGUUUCACCAGUAUGAGUUCUUGAAUGUUUCUUUAAGUCAACAUUUUGAGAAAAUUCACAAGCACAAACAUCACAUUUAUAAGGUGUUUCGCCAGUAUGCGUUCUCAUAUGUUUCUUCAAGGUACAACCUUGAGUAAAUUUUCUAAAACAAACAUCACAUGUGUGACAUUUGUGAGGUUUUUCACCAGUAUGUGUUCUCAAGUGUCUGUUUAAGUGACCACUUUGUGUAAAUUUUCUAAAACAAAUAUCACAUUUGUGAGGUUUUUCACCAGUAUGUGUUCUCAUGUGUCCUUUUAAGUAACUUCUUUGACUAAAUUUUCUAAAACAAACAUCACACUUGUGAGGUUUUUCGCCAGUAUGUGUUCUCAAGUGUCUCUUUAAGUGACUAUCUCGAGAAAAUUCUUUAGCACAAACAUCACAUUUAUGAAGUGUUUUACCAGCCUGUGUGUUUAUGUGUCUCUGUAGAGUACCAUUGAGUGUGACUAAAUCAUCUCCUCCCUCUAACAUCUUAUUGAUAAUGUUUAUC
rnacentral:lncRNA from 1 species